GGUAUGGGAUGAGCUUGCGUCCGAUUAGCUAGUAGGCGGGGUAACGGCCCACCUAGGCGACGAUCGGUAGCCGGCCUGAGAGGGUGAUCGGCCACAUUGGGACUGAGAUACGGCCCAGACUCCUACGGGAGGCAGCAGUAGGGAAUAUUGCACAAUGGGGGGAACCCUGAUGCAGCAACGCCACGUGUGGGAAGAAGCAUUUCGGUGUGUAAACCACUGUCGUGAGGGAAUAAGGCUAUUUUUCGGAGUAGUUGAAUGUACCUCGAAAGGAAGCACCGGCAAACUUCGUGCCAGCAGCCGCGGCAAUACGAGGGGUGCAAGCGUUGUUCGGAAUCACUGGGCGUAAAGGGAGCGCAGGCGGAAGUGCAAGCAAUCUGUACAAUCCCGGGGCCCAACCCCGGUCCUGCAGAUUGGACUGUAUUUCUUGGAUAGUUCAGGGGCAGGC
rnacentral:rRNA from 1 species